UCCUCCUUAGCUCAGCUGGUUAGAGCAUCUGACUGUUAAUCAGAGGGUCGCUGGUUCAAGUCCAGCAGGGGGAG
rfam:Sporocytophaga myxococcoides DNA, contig: Contig48_02, strain: PG-01.